UUGUGAGGCCUCCCCAGCCAUGUGGAACUUAACAAAAUGGUUGCUGCAGCAACAUCCAUCACAUCUUCUUCCAUCCAGCAUGAAGGAAGAAAGCCCAAAGAAGAGGUUGGACCCUUCUAUUAAGGAAACUUCCUAAAAGGAAGGACUGUGCCGGUGAAAAAGGGAAAAAUGCUGGUCCUGGAAGGGACAUCGUUAUUGAGAAGUUCCCAACCUAAAUGGAUGACUCAUAGGGAGGCCCAGGAGAGAAGGGCACAUCAAGCGAUCUUGUAUGUUCAUGCCAGUUAGAACGGCGAUCAUUAAAAAAUCUGGAGACAACAGU